rnacentral:misc_RNA from 1 species
UUAAUAUUUGUUUUUUACUGAAGAUACUGCUACUACAAAAGGGUUUAAAUGUGGCCACUGGCGGGCGAACCCGCCAGGGAAACAGGUACUCAUAAACAAAGGGUGUUAUCUCAAUGGGGACGAAUCCCCACGGUAAUGAUCCUUCCGCAGGUUCACCUACGGAAA